UAGUCCACGCCGUAAACGAUGAAUGCUAGGUGUCGGUGGUCAAACAUCGGUGCCGCAGUUAACGCAAUAAGCAUUCCACCUGGGGAGUACGAUCGCAAGAUUGAAACUCAAAGGAAUUGACGGGGGCCCGCACAAGCGGUGGAGCAUGUGGUUUAAUUCGAAGCAACGCGAAGAACCUUACCAAUUCUUGACAUCCUUUUGACCGUUCCUUAAUCGGAACUUCUCUUCGGAGCAAAAGUGACAGGUGGUGCAUGGUUGUUGUCAGCUCGUGUCGUGAGAUGUUGGGUUAAGUCCCGCAACGAGCGCAACCCUUAUCUUUAGUAGCCAGCAUUUCGGAUGGGAACUCUAGAGAGACUGCCGGGGACAACUCGGAGGAAGGUGGGGAUGACGUCAAAUCAUCAUGCCCCUUAUGAAUUGGGCUACACACGUGCUACAAUGGCAGAUACAAAGGGAAGCCAAGCCGCAAGGUGGAGCAAACCCCAUAAAGUCUGUCCCAGUUCGGA
rnacentral:rRNA from 1 species